UGCACAGAGAACAGAACGGCAUUCUUUGGUACGGGAUAUGUGUGUGAAUAUUGCUACAAGGCCCAUGAGGGAAUUCUAUUACACAAAUGCCCGAUCCAUUGCAAUGUGUGUCUGACAGUGUGCGAUAGACUAUCAGGUCGUACGAUAAAGUGCAAGGACUGUAGUCGUAUAUGCCGCUCGCUGGUCUGCUACAACACACACAAGAAGCAUUCUGCCAAACAUGACAUGAUACCUUGUGAAAAGCUCAAAUACUGCGAUCGUUGUUGUAGACAGUAUAUCAUAUCGAAGAAGAAGAAGAAGAAGAAGAAGGGGGUGGGGGAGGGGGAUGAGGAGGAGGAGGAGGAUGAGGAAGGUGGCGCUAAUGGUCAUGUAUGCAGCGAUGCAAAGUGUCGUAACUGUGGGGAGCCGAUGCCCGAUGAUGGAGUACAUGAUUGCUAUAUCCAGCCGUACGACAAGAAAAAGAAAAAGAAACGCAGGGGUGGUCGCGGGGGUCCAUCGGAUGACGACGCUCCGCCUAAUAAAUACAUAUACUAUGAUUUCGAAACGCGCGUGCAUGAUGGUCGUCACGAAGCAAACUGUGUGGCGGCUAUUACGUCUGAAGGCAUAGAAUGGUAUGCUACCGGUCUAGAUUGUGUAAGAGAGUUUGUGAAACGCUACAGAACAGGGGAGUAUACGUUGUAUACAUUUGUGGCACACAACGCGUCGGGCUUUGAUAACUAUAUCGUCCUGGACUACAUGACCAAGCAGGGUAUUAAACCCGUUUUAGUCAUGAAGGGUAGCAGAGUCAUUUUGAUGCGUGAUGACGCCUACCAUCAGAGAUGGGUCGACUCAUUUAGCUUCUUGCCCAUGCGAUUGGCUAAUGCACCGGCGGCGUUGGAUUUUGACGAUAUGGCAAAAGGUAAUUUUCCGCAUAAAUUCAACACACGGGCCAACGAGUCUUAUGUCGGUGCCUACCCUGAGAUCUCAUAUUAUGGAUAUGAUUCCAUGACUAGCGAUCAAAAGACAGAUUUCGCUAUUUGGUACAGAUCUGUACGACACAAAAAAUUUGACUUUCAGAAACAGCUGCGUCUCUACUGUGUCAACGACGUGAGGAUCCUAUACAAGGCGUGUAGGAUCUACAGGGAAAAUUUCAUAGAGUGUGCCACUAUAGACCCCUUGUCCUAUGCCACUCUGGCUUCGGCGUGCAUGGCCACCUUCAAAAAGUCGUUCUUGAAGAAAAACGUCCUGGCACUGACCUACGAGGGUGUCUAUCAGAAAAAGCAAAAGUCGUUCUCAUGCGCAUCCAUCCAGUGGCUUGAAUAUCUAUCCCACUCCAAUAACAUGGAGAUUCGGCAUGCUCUCAACCAUGGAGAGGCUAAAUAUGGACCAUUCUUCCUAGAUGGACAUGCACCGUCUAUAAACACAGCCUAUGAAUUUGCAGGAUGCUUUUAUCAUGGGUGUGAACAGUGCUACAACGCUGGCCACCAGAACCCUGUCCUCAGGAAGACCUAUGGCGAAUUGUGGGUGCAGUUUCACCUCAAAGUCGAGGCUCUCAAAAGAGAUCAGGGUUUAAGAGUUGUGGUCAUGUGGGAGUGUGAGUGGCACCGUCUGAAAAAGACCAAUGCUGCAGUGCAGGCAUUCUUGGCUACUCUGAAAAUACAACCUAGGAUUGAUCCUCGCGACUCUCUCUAUGGGGGUCGCACCAACGCCAUCAAAAUGUAUCACAAGGCCGUGCCCGGUGAGAAAAUACGCUACUAUGACUUUACCUCUCUCUACCCCACAGUACAGGCCCGCUGUCCUUAUCCUGUAGAGCACCCCCAGAUCAUUUUCAGGAAUUUUGGUCCUUUGGAUGGGUAUUUCGGCAUCAUCAAAUGCACCGUGUUGCCCCCCAGAGGUCUUUACCAUCCUGUGCUCCCCUAUAGGUGUCAUGGAAAGCUGAUGUUCCCCCUCUGUGGUACAUGUGCCACUGAGCUCAAUCAGACAGACGCGUGUCAUCACUGCAACGAUGAACGGGCUCUGACAGGGACCUGGGUGACUUUUGAGCUACAAAAAGCGGUCGAAAUGGGUUACGUGUUAAUCCAAAUGCAUGAGGUGUGGCACUACCCCAAACGGUCAGAGACUCUGUUUAAAGGGUAUGUCAAAACGUUUCUCAAGCGUAAACAGGAGGCUUCAGGAUACCCCAGCACAGUGGACACUGCGGAGAAACAGCGAGCGUAUGUGCAAAACUAUCUGGCAAAGGAGGGUAUACAGUUGGAUCACAACAACAUGUGUGUGAACAAGGCCAUGCGUAAUUGCAACAAGUUGAUUCUAAACAGUCUGUGGGGUCGCUUUUCACUACGCCCAGACCUACCCACGUGUGAGCUAAUUUCUGACCCUGAAAGGUUCACUCAGCUCAUGUUUAGCGAUAGCUAUCACAUUAGUCACUUUUGCUUUAUCUCUGAUGAAGUAGCCCUUGUACAAUGGAAACAUGUAGAUGCACGUCUCGCGAGGGCGCGGGAUGUCAACGUGAUUGUGGGGGCUGUGACCACCGCCCAUGCCAGGCUCAUGCUCUACGAUCUUCUAGACAAACUACAGGAACGUGUCCUCUAUUGUGACACAGACAGCAUCAUUUUUGUUUCUAAGGAGGGUGAUUGGGUACCCCCUUUAGGCCCUUAUCUGGGCGACUUGACCGACGAGCUAAAUGAUGGUGAUCUGUAUGGUACCGAACAGGAGGAUUACAUUAGCGAAUAUGUCUCAACAGGUCCUAAAAGCUAUGCAUACCACACCCGUGACCACAAGUCUGUCGUCAAAAGCAAAGGGGUGACUUUAAAUGCAGCAAAUGCUGAAAUGGUCACCCAGCAGACCCUGAAAUGUCUAUUGGAUGAUUUUGUCAACCAUCGGCCUCAAACCCUCGACAUCACCACCACCGUAGAUACCAUCCAGCGAGAUAAGACUAGGUUUCUGCUUAAAAAUGCUACUGUAGUUAAACGGCUUAGGGUGGUUUACAACAAACGCAGGGUCUUCCCCGACUACACCACGCUUCCUUACGGCUAUUAACCAUUUUGUUUAUUGUUUUUCUCUUUUUCACAUGAUCCAUGUUUUUUUUCUUCUUCUUCUUUUUACAUAUUGUUUUCAAAUGAUCCAUGUUUUUAUUCAUUUUAUAUUUUUGAGGGGAGUAUGCAUAUUGUGUUAAGAAUUGUUUCAUGUUCAUGCUAUUAGCUAUUUUGUUUUUAUUGUUUUCAAAUGAUCCAUGUUCUCUUCUUUCAUCUUUUUUUUUUUAUUUUAAUCUUUUUUUUUUUUUUAUGCAUCAUGUAUUAAUGAUGAAUGACUGUGCUAAUAAUCAUGUCGGUGUUAAUAAAGAAUGUUAACUGUCAAAUGUCUCACGGUUCUAUGGUCACAAUACAUCCGUCCAUCAGAGGGGAUGCACACAGACCGCAGAGAUGGCUGCUGUACACACAACGUUCGACCCUAGACUUCAACACCCGUUCAGCAUGGUAGUAUCAGGACCUUCAAACAGCGGCAAAACCUACUUUGUCAAAACAGUCAUUGAAAAUAUGGAUCGGUUAUUCUCAGAAAAGAUUGAGAAUAUAGUAUAUGUUUAUUCAUGCUGGCAGCCCAUAUAUGAUGAUUUACUUAAAAUAAGGAACAUUCACUUUGUAGAAGGGAUCCCCAAAUCUCUAUGUGAUGAUGCAAUCUUACCAGUCCAUACUAGAAAUCUGCUCAUUAUUGACGACUUGAUGAACGAUGCAUGCAAUAAUAUAGAGGUUCAGUACGUUUUUACCAAAUAUGUACACCAUCGUAAUCUCAGCUGUAUGUAUCUGGUUCAGAAUUUAUUUAUGCAGGGUAAAACCAGCCGUACAAUUAGUCUAAAUACCAAUUACAUGGUUUUGUUUAAGAACCCUCGUGACAAAUAUCAGAUUAUGUUGAUAGCCAAACAGAUGUUUCCAUGCAAGACAAAAUAUUUUCUAGAAGCCUUCAACGACGCUACCGACAUGCCUUACGGCUAUCUGCUUGUAGACUUUAAAGCCAUGACCCCGGACAACAUGAGACUUAGAACAGAUAUAUUGUCAGACCGACAUGUUGUAUACACUCAGAGAGCCAAAGUGAUUAGCCCAAAAGACCAUGUCCUCACGUAUAAGUAGAAACCGUGAGCGUCUUAAGCAACUAUAUAGCGCCCCUCCGGCUCAG
ensembl:lncRNA